UACGUAGGAUGCUAGCGUUGUCCGGAUUUAUUGGGCGUAAAGAGCUCGUAGGCGGUUUGUCGCGUCUGCUGUGAAAACCUAAGGCUCAACCUUGGGCUUGCAGUGGGUACGGGCAGACUAGAGUGCGGUAGGGGUGACUGGAAUUCCUGGUGUAGCGGUGGAAUGCGCAGAUAUCGAGAGGAACACCAGUGGCGAAGGCGAGUCUCUAGACAACUCCUGACACUGAGGCACGAAAGCUAGGGGAGCAAACAGG
rnacentral:rRNA from 1 species